rnacentral:miRNA from 1 species
UCUGGAAGCUGAGUACGUAUCU